AUUGAACGCUGGCAGCAUGCCUUACACAUGCAAGUCGAACGGCAGCGGGGGAGAAGCUUGCUUUUCCUGCCGGCGAGUGGCGAACGGGUGAGUAAUACAUCGGAACGUGCCCUGUAGUGGGGGAUAACUAGUCGAAAGAUUAGCUAAUACCGCAUACGACCUGAGGGUGAAAGUGGGGGACCGCAAGGCCUCAUGCUAUAGGAGCGGCCGAUGUCUGAUUAGCUAGUUGGUGGGGUAAAGGCCUACCAAGGCGACGAUCUGUAGCUGGUCUGAGCGGACGAUCAGCCACACUGGGACUGAGACACGGCGCAGAAUCCUACGGGAGGCAGCGGUGGGGAAUUUUGGACAAUGGGCGAAAGCCUGAUCCAGCAAUGCCGCGUGUGUGAAGAAGGCCUUCGGGUUGUAAAGCACUUUUGUCCGGAAAGAAAUGGCUCUGGUUAAUACCUGGGGUCGAUGACGGUACCUGAAGAAUAAGGACCGGCUAACUACGUGCCAGCCGCCGCAGUAA
rnacentral:rRNA from 1 species